rnacentral:rRNA from 1 species
AAAUUGAAGAGUUUGAUCAUGGCUCAGAUUGAACGCUGGCGGCAGGCCUAACACAUGCAAGUCGAACGGUAACAGGAAACAGCUUGCUGUUUCGCUGACGAGUGGCGGACGGGUGAAUAAUGUCUGGGAAACUGCCUGAUGGAGGGGGAUAACUACUGGAAACGGUAGCUAAUACCGCAUAACGUCGCAAGACCAAAGAGGGGGACCUUCGGGCCUCUUGCCAUCGGAUGUGCCCAGAUGGGAUUAGCUAGUAGGUGGGGUAACGGCUCACC